AUGAACGCUGGCGGCGUGCCUCAUCCCUGCAAGUCGCGCGAACAGACGAGGAGCUUGCUCCUCUGACGUUAGCGGCGGACGGGUGAGUAACACGUGGAUAACCUACCUAUAAGACUGGGAUAACUUCGGGAAACCGGAGCUAAUACCGGAUAAUAUAUUGAACCGCAUGGUUCAAUAGUGAAAGACGGUUUUGCUGUCACUUAUAGAUGGAUCCGCGCCGCAUUAGCUAGUUGGUAAGGUAACGGCUUACCAAGGCAACGAUGCGUAGCCGACCUGAGAGGGUGAUCGGCCACACUGGAACUGAGACACGGUCCAGACUCCUACGGGAGGCAGCAGUAGGGAAUCUUCCGCAAUGGGCGAAAGCCUGACGGAGCAACGCCGCGUGAGUGAUGAAGGUCUUCGGAUCGUAAAACUCUGUUAUUAGGGAAGAACAAAUGUGUAAGUAACUAUGCACGUCUUGACGGUACCUAAUCAGAAAGCCACGGCUAACUACGUG
rnacentral:rRNA from 1 species